GAUGAACGCUGGCGGCGUGCUUAACACAUGCAAGUCGAACGAAGCACUUUAUUUGAUUUCCUUCGGGACUGAUUAUUUUGUGACUGAGUGGCGGACGGGUGAGUAACGCGUGGGUAACCUGCCUUGUACAGGGGGAUAACAGUUGGAAACGGCUGCUAAUACCGCAUAAGCGCACAGCAUCGCAUGAUGCAGUGUGAAAAACUCCGGUGGUAUAAGAUGGACCCGCGUUGGAUUAGCUAGUUGGUGAGGUAACGGCCCACCAAGGCGACGAUCCAUAGCCGACCUGAUAGGGUGACCGGCCACAUUGGGACUGAGACACGGCCCAAACUCCUACGGGAGGCAGCAGUGGGGAAUAUUGCACAAUGGGCGAAAGCCUGAUGCAGCGACGCCGCGUGAGCGAAGAAGUAGUUCGGUAUGUAAAGCUCUAUCAGCAGGGAAGAUAAUGACGUUACCUGACUAAGAAGCACCGGCUAAAUACGUG
rnacentral:rRNA from 1 species